AUUUAGCGGAUUUUUUUUCCUUCCAAAUAUUUUCUUUUUUUUCUUCUCUGGUGGGGCUACCCGACUCGACUACGCUACACUUCCGGUGAAUAAGGUCAAUAUGCAAAACAGGAUAGCUACUUCCGAGCUGAGACGUGUGCAGUUAGGUGACCUGCCUGGCCCUUGAUGUGAGUGCUGCCCCUGCAAUGCACUGGAUUUCUGCCUAGGAUGGCCCCCUCCUCGUCUUCAUACACCUCAGGCAUGAAGCAUCGCCAUCCUACAGAGAGCAACCCCCACCUCCAGAGACCCAGCAUACCCCCACCACCACCUGUUCACCCUACAGGACUAUUUACCCCCAGGCUGAGAAGUAGCUUCUGCCCCAAAGCCAUCAGUCACUUCAACCAAGCAGGGAACAGCAAACUCAAAUAACCCCCCAACACCCCCAGGAGCAGUACGUACGCACCCGUCUGCAAACCUGCCCCUCCCCGACUACUGAUUGUUUAUGGUGCUGCUAAUUCUAAACCACAUGACUGUUGCCAAUUAAAAAAAAAAACUGUCUAAUGCUGCUGAAAGAUAUGAUUGCAUUUUGAUUUACCAUUCAGCUUUGUGCUGUACAUCUAUACUGUACAUAUCUUCAGAUUUACUUUCCCGUUUUUUAUUUGUCUCUUAAAGCUUUGAUAGGAGGCACACAGUUUUGUUAUACAUGUACAGUGAUAUUAAAGAUAUUCUAAGUAUGCUCA